GCCUGAUGCAGCGACGCCGCGUGAGGGAUGACGGCCUUCGGGUUGUAAACCUCUUUCAAUAGGGACGAAGCGCAAGUGACGGUACCUAUAGAAGAAGGACCGGCCAACUACGUGCCAGCAGCCGCGGUAAUACGUAGGGUCCGAGCGUUGUCCGGAAUUACUGGGCGUAAAGAGCUCGUAGGUGGUUUGUCGCGUUGUUCGUGAAAACUCACAGCUUAACUGUGGGCGUGCGGGCGAUACGGGCAGACUAGAGUACUGCAGGGGAGACUGGAAUUCCUGGUGUAGCGGUGGAAUGCGCAGAUAUCAGGAGGAACACCGGUGGCGAAGGCGGGUCUCUGGGCAGUAACUGACGCUGAGGAGCGAAAGCGUGGGGAGCGAACAGGAUUAGAUACCCUGGUAGUCCACGCCGUAAACGGUGGGUACUAGGUGUGGGUUUCCUUCCUUGGGAUCCGUGCCGUAGCUAACGCAUUAAGUACCCCGCCUGGGGAGUACGGCCGCAAGGCUAAAACUCAAAGAAAUUGACGGGGGCCCGCACAAGCGGCGGAGCAUGUGGAUUAAUUCGAUGCAACGCGAAGAACCUUACCUGGGUUUGACAUGCACAGGACGCCAGUAGAGAUAUUGGUUCCCUUGUGGCC
rnacentral:rRNA from 1 species